CGCGCAGGCGGCUGUUCAGGUCCGAUGUGAAAGCUUCCGGCUUAACUGGAAAACGGCAUCGGAUACUGGACGGCUGGAAGGUGGGAGAGGGUAGCGGAAUUCCCGGUGUAGUGGUGAAAUGCGUAGAUAUCGGGAGGAACACCAGUGGCGAAAGCGGCUACCUGGCCCACUCUUGACGCUGAGGCGCGAAAGCUAGGGGAGCAAACG
rnacentral:rRNA from 1 species